UAUNGGUCAAUGGGCGGGAGCCUGAACCAGCNAAGUCGCGUGAGGGAGUAAGGCCCUACGGGUCGUAAACCUCUUUUGCCGGGGAGCAGGGCGGCGUACGUGUCCGCCGUUUGAGAGUACCCGGAGCAAAAGCAUCCGCUAACUCCGUGCCAGCUGCCGCGGUAAUACGCAGGAUGCGAGCGUUAUCCGGAUUUAUUGUGUUUAAAGGGUGCGUAGGCGGGCUUUUAAGUCAGCGGUAAAAAUUCGGGGCUCAACCCCGUCCGGCCGUUGAAACUGGGGGCCUUGAGUGGGCGAGAAGAAGGCGGAAUGCGUGGUGUAGCGGUGAAAUGCAUAGAUAUCACGCGGAACCCCGAUUGCGAAGGCAGCCUUCCGGCGCCCUACUGACGCUGAGGCACGAAAGUGCGGGGAUCGAACAGG
rnacentral:rRNA from 1 species